rnacentral:lncRNA from 1 species
GAUGCUAUGACUGGGCUGUGAGGAGAUCAUAGGUGUAUCUAGUUAACCAUGAUGGAGGAAAAUAAUAAUUAGGCUAACAAAGGGUGGGUUACGAGAGUAUAUGGAGGAAUAUAGGUUUUUCAUUAGCUUAUAAAGGGGAGUACGUACAUAAGAUCAGAACUCGCAUCAUUAGAAAAUAUUAGAUGGAAAAGAGAAACACCUGCUUGUCAAAUCACCUCUAUUGGACACAAAAGCUUAAUAAUCCAACAGCCUGCUCUCAGGCCAGUCGAUGGCUGCUCCAACUCAUGGAAAUUUGCUGGGUACUAUCCAGGCACGCGUCUUCUCGCAUCCUCACGUGAUAGAUGAUGGCCGACCGGUGCAGCUUGACACAGGAACGAAGCAUGUGUGUUGGUUGGAUAUAGGGUUGCAAGAUGUAGUAGAUGGCAAUGGCCAGUAUGGAGAAGACACAUAAAUCACGGAAGUGCUCACCAAUCAUAGAACCAUGACGGAGACGACAGCCAGCUUGGGCUUCCCAAAUAUGUGAUGCUCCAUCGAUGACAACGGCGACAAACAGAGGUUUGAGAUGGUGAUGAUUCUCUCCAAAAACAAUAGGGCUGUUGUAACACCCUAAAAUUUGCUCUUUUUAAAAUACAUGAAAAUUAAUUUAAUUUUGUAUUUUUGUGCUCAUGAGAAUAUAGGAAAAAUAAUAUUUUUCAUUAAAAUAAAAAUUUAAUAUAAGGCUUAGCAACAAUUGUGUGUAAAUCAUGCUGGUGCAUUUAUUUUUGAGAUGAGUGUUUUUGACCAAAGUUUGAAAAUAUUUCAAACAGAUUUUAAAACGGAUUUAAAACAAGUUUUGAAAUAAAAGAAGAAGAAAAAAAAAAAAGAAGAACCUCUCCCCUCUGUUCUCGGCCGGGUGCGGCCCAGCGUCCCACCUCGGCCCAUUUGGCAACCGGCCCACGCUGCGCGCCCCAUUCCCCCUCCCCUUUUCCACUGCUGACGGCCGGGUCCCGCCCACUUCUCUCACUGGCAGCAAGGGCCCACACGUCAGCGACGCGCCCGCUUUCCUUCUUCCUCCGUGCGCCGAAUUCGAGCAGGACGCGAUCCCAAACGAACCGAUCCCAGGAAACGCCGCGAUUUCUUGCCCUUUUUGCGAACCAAGACGCUAUAAAGCCCCUAGAGGUGUCCCGCGUGUUGUUUUUCCCUUCCUAGCCGCCGAAAUCGAACCCUAGGCGCCCUAGCUAGGCACGUUUGGAUCUCAGUGAGCCGCACACCUUCUCCACCGCGGCGCGGGUUCCAUGUUCUUUCUCGGGACGAAUCAAGUGCGGU